rnacentral:lncRNA from 1 species
GUUAUGUUGCACCACUGGAUUCCCUAUACUCCUCAACAUUAACCUGCAUUUAGUAGCAAUAUUAGUAAAAAGCAUAGUCGGCUGUUGAAUAAGAUAUAAAAUUUCAACUGAGUCGGUUUCAACUACUAAGAGAGAUAAUUUAUGAGUUAUAACAAAUUCCAGGCCAUGUUUUAGAGAUUCAAAUUCUGUCAUAGUGUGGCAAUGACUAUUAGCAGUAACGCAGAAACCAAAAAUCCAACUGCCUUGAGAAUUACGAAAGACCCCAUCGAUACUGCAUCGAGCAUUAUUCUCUAUGAAAGAUCCAUCUAUAUUUAACUUAAAAUAUCCAUUAGGAGGGGCAACCCAUCUAAUCUGGACAGUGAUAGAAGCAGAUUGGUUAGGCUUCAUCCGCGCAAGAUGAAGAUAUUCUGUCACUUUAGUGUAGUCGAAGCUGGGUCAGAAAAAUUGGUUUUGUGGUUGAAAAUAUUAUUGUUUCGGUUUAGCCAAAUAUGCCAAAUGGCAAAAGAAAAAAAGGACAUCCAGUUAGCUGUUUCAUCUCAAUAAGGAGUGGAAGAGAUUUGAAGGAGUUAAGCCAAUGUUGAUUGAAGGUACCGAUGAUAGAGGUGUUUAAAUCUAUAUCCAGCCAGAAUUUUGUAGUUAUAUGACAACGAGCAAAGAUGUGAAUAGGAGUCUCAGCUUCUAAAUGACAAAUUAGACAGUUCGGGUGAGGAGAGAUUCCUAUAUAGUAGAAAUAAACAUUGGUAGGAAGUCUACCAUGUGAGCAAAGCCACAAAAAAUGUUUAAUUUUUGGUAAGGUAUUCAAUUUCCAAAUCCAAGCAAAGACAUAGUUAUUGGGCGGGGGUUGGUAAAAGGAUUCAUAUAUUGAUUGUGAAGAGAAAAGGCCGUUGGAAGUGUAUGCCCGAUAAGGUUUGUCCCAUAGGCCAAGAGAGGAGUUAGGUC